CAUUGGGUCCCUGGCGGCGAAAGCUGUCGAACCGCGUCAGGUCCGGAAGGAAGCAGCGCUAAGGCAAACCUUUCGGGUGCCCAGGAUCACCUGGUGGUC
rnacentral:SRP_RNA from 1 species